rnacentral:misc_RNA from 1 species
GAAAAUAUUUGUACAAAAAGUGCAAUAAUGAAAUACAACAGAAUACACUGCACCAUCACCACUGCUUGAUAUGGAUAUUUCGGAGAUAUUAACAUGGAUAUAUGUAGGAUAAUUCGCUACUGGUGGGGUAGACUUACUUCCACAUGAUGUUUGAUGAACAAAUAAGACAUUGAUCGUCUUCGUCUCUUGCAUUCCCAGUUACAAGUCAUUUUCUCAAAUAAGCAUCCCAGA